rnacentral:lncRNA from 1 species
CGACCUUCUUGCUCAAGGCUAUGCGGCACUCCUUCUCGGACCUCUGAUUGGGUUCUCGCGGCAAGCAAUUCUUCCUGCCGUCGAAGGCCACUACAGGCAGCGCGUUGGGGCGACACUCGGGAUCUUCGGCGUCAAACAAGUUGAACGAGUAGGUGAAGUUCUUGAGAUUGGGCAAAGUGCAAACGUUUUCUGGAACUUUGCUUCUGAACUUAUUGCCCGCAAUAUUGAGCACCUCUAUUUUCUGCAGGUACUCCAUCCCCUGCGGCAGGUCUCCCAUAAACUUGUUGUUCGAGAUGUCGAAAAGCUUGGUGGUGUUGAGCAUGGUGAUCUCCUCCGGCAGGCACCCAGACAGCUCAUUGUGCGACACCACGAACUCGUCCAAAUUUCCCGCCAUC